AUACGUAGGGUGCAAGCGUUAAUCGGAAUUACUGGGCGUAAAGCGUGCGCAGGCGGUUUUGUAAAACAGAGGUGAAAUCCCCGGGCUCCACCUGGGAACUGCCUUUGUAACUGCAAGGCUAGAGUACGGCAGAGGGGGAUGGAAUUCCGCGUGGAGCAGUGAAAUGCGUAGAUAUGCGGAGGAACACCGAUGGCGAAGGCAAUCCCCUGGGCCUGUACUGACGCUCAUGCACGAAAGCGUGGGGAGCAAACAGGAUUAGAUACCCUGGUAGUCCACGCCCUAAACGAUGUCAACUGGUUGUUGGGUCUUCAUUGACUCAGUAACGAAGCUAACGCGUGAAGUUGACCGCCUGGGGAGUACGGCCGCAAGGUUGAAACUCAAAUGAAUUGGCGGGG
rnacentral:rRNA from 1 species